rnacentral:rRNA from 1 species
AGUGAACGCUGGCGGUAGGCCUAACACAUGCAAGUCGAACGGCAGCACAGGAGAGCUUGCUCUCUGGGUGGCGAGUGGCGGACGGGUGAGGAAUACAUCGGAAUCUACUCUGUCGUGGGGGAUAACGUAGGGAAACUUACGCUAAUACCGCAUACGACCUACGGGUGAAAGCGGGGGACCUUCGGGCCUUGCGCGAUUGAAUGAGCCGAUGUCGGAUUAGCUAGUUGGCGGGGUAAAGGCCCACCAAGGCGACGAUCCGUAGCUGGUCUGAGAGGAUGAUCAGCCACACUGGAACUGAGACACGGUCCAGACUCCUACGGGAGGCAGCAGUGGGGAAUAUUGGACAAUGGGCGCAAGCCUGAUCCAGCCAUACCGCGUGGGUGAAGAAGGCCUUCGGGUUGUAAAGCCCUUUUGUUGGGAAAGAAAUCCAGCUGGCUAAUACCCGGUUGGGAUGACGGUACCCAAAGAGUAAGCACCGGCUAACUUCGUGCCAGCCGCCGCAGUAA